rnacentral:rRNA from 1 species
AGUGAACGCUGGCGGUAGGCCUAACACAUGCAAGUCGAACGGCAGCACAGUAAGAGCUUGCUCUUACGGGUGGCGAGUGGCGGACGGGUGAGGAAUACAUCGGAAUCUACUUUUUCGUGGGGGAUAACGUAGGGAAACUUACGCUAAUACCGCAUACGACCUACGGGUGAAAGCAGGGGAUCUUCGGACCUUGCGCGAUUGAAUGAGCCGAUGUCGGAUUAGCUAGUUGGCGGGGUAAAGGCCCACCAAGGCGACGAUCCGUAGCUGGUCUGAGAGGAUGAUGAGCCACACUGGAACUGAGACACGGUCCAGACUCCGACGGGAGGCAGCAGUGGGGAAUAUUGGACAAUGGGCGCAAGCCUGAUCCAGCCAUACCGCGAGGGUGAAGAAGGCCUUCGGGUUGUAAAGCCCUUUUGUUGGGAAAGAAAAGCAGCAGGUUAAUACCCCGCUGUUCUGACGGUACCCAAAGAAUAAGCACCGGCUAACUUCGG